rnacentral:rRNA from 1 species
GAUGAACGCUGGCGGCGUGCCUAAUACAUGCAAGUCGAGCGAACGGACGAGAAGCUUGCUUCUCUGAUGUUAGCGGCGGACGGGUGAGUAACACGUGGAUAACCUACCUAUAAGACUGGGAUAACUUCGGGAAACCGUAGCUAAUACCGGAUAAUAUUUUGAACCGCAUGGUUCCAAAGUGAAAGACGGUCUUGCUGUCACUUAUAGAUGGAUCCGCGCUGCAUUAGCUAGUUGGUAAGGUAACGGCUUACCAAGGCAACGAUGCAUAGCCGACCUGAGAGGGUGAUCGGCCACACUGGAACUGAGACACGGUCCAGACUCCUACGGGAGGCAGCAGUAGGGAAUCUUCCGCAAUGGGCGAAAGCCUGACGGAGCAACGCCGCGUGAGUGAUGAAGGUCUUCUGAUCGUAAAGCUCUGUUAUUAGGGAAGAACAUAUGUGUAAGUAACUGUGCACAUCUUGACGGUACCUAAUCAGAAAGCCACGGCUAACUACGUG